rnacentral:rRNA from 1 species
CCUACGGGAGGCUGCAGUGGGGAAUAUUGCACAAUGGGGGAAACCCUGAUGCAGCAACGCCGCGUGAGCGAAGAAGGCCUUCGGGUCGUAAAGCUCUGUCCUAAGGGAAGAAGCAUGACGGUACCUUAGGAGGAAGCCCCGGCUAACUACGUGCCGGCAGCCGCGGUAAUACGUAGGGGGCGAGCGUUAUCCGGAAUCACUGGGCGUAAAGGGUGCGUAGGCGGCCAAUUAAGCCAGGGGUGAAAGGCUACGGCUCAACCGUAGUAAGCCCUUGGAACUGAAUGGCUUGAGUGCAGGAGGGGAGAGUGGAAUUCCUAGGGGAGCGGUGAAAUGGGUAGAUAUUAGGGGGAACACCAGGGGGGAGGGGGACUCUUUGGACUGAAACUGACGCUGGGGCACGAAAGCGUGGGGAGCAAAAAGGAUUAGAUCCCCGGGUAGUC